rnacentral:lncRNA from 1 species
UUAUACUCAUUCCCAUACCUUAAUUUUAUUCAUCUAAGACCACAACUAAACAUGUUCACAUCAUAUUCAAACCUUAAAACCGAACACAACGAUUUGUUCAAGCCAUUUUCGCAUGGCUAUAUAAUUUACAAAUCCAAAAUCAAACAUAACAUAUUCUAACUUAUACAUGCCAUAGUUCCAAACUUAUAAAAUACCGAAAGCGGUCGAUAGUGUGAUAAGCUUCUCUGACGAUCCCCGAACUCGUAGAUUGAAUUCAAAAUCUAUAAAAUAGAGACAAUUAUACACAGUAAGCUACCUUAACUUAGUAAGUCAUAAGCAGAUAAACACAUAAGAUAAUAUUAUCAACUUGAUUAAACCAAACCAGAAUUAUAUUAUCAUAACACAUGUAAAGCCAAACACGCAUAAACUCAUAUUCUAAGUAUAUAUAUAUAUAUUCAUUUGUAAAUGCCACUUUGGCCGAAAGCCUACAUAACCAUAUUAUCAUAUUGUCGUAUAAUUUCCAAAAUCGAAUAAUCAUUAUAGACCCAAUUCACAAUCCCAUAAGAUUCAUAAGCUCAUGCGUCACUAUAUAAUUUCAUAUCUUUAUAUUAGCUAUGUGGCCGGUUUUACACAAUCACACCUACAUAUAAUUAAGACUUAUUCAAUGGUAUCUACAUUGCCGAAUACCCUCAUAAUUACCUUAGCACAUUAUUAGCCAACUUUUCAAAAUCGGUUGGCAUAAAGAAAUUUAGUCCAUACGCACUCAUAUGCGUAAGCUAUUGUACCCAAAUAAUAUUUCAUAUACAUGUUAAUUAUGCAACUGAAUAUACAUAUGUCUAUACCAAAGUACUAUAUACUAUUAAAGCCAUGUUAUCAAAUACCUAAAGCUGAACCUUUAGCCAUUUGUUUACGCACGCUCAUGUAUCAAAUCUUUAUACCACAUAAUUGCACUUAACAUAUAUCCAGAUAUGUUUCACGAUUACUCACGUGGGCCGAGUACUCACAUGGUUCUUCUAACAUAUAUUGCUCAAUUUCCAAACUAAAUUAUCUUUAUCAUGACUAGUACCUAUACUCAUAUAUGCAUAAGUUCAUAACUCAAUGAAUAAUAAUCACACAUAUAUUUAUAGUAUGUGGCCGAACACAUACACAUGUAAAUAAAAUAUAUCCUUCACUUUCAAGGUCAAAUACCAUUAUAAAAACACAUAUAUUUAUACUUAUGAAUCACACUAUGAUAUCAUAUGCAUAUUUUUAGCAAAGGCCAAGUAUACAUCAGAAUUAUAUUUCUGUUCUUCUAAGGGAUCUGUAAACUCGCACACUCAGUGCCAAUUCCUUGUAACGUAUCGCACACUUAGUGCUGUUACAUUAACAUCUUGCACACUUAGUGCCACAAUCUUGUGACGUAUCGCACACUUAGUGUCGUUACCUUAAUAGGUUUAUUCCGUCGAAACGAAUUCGUAAUAUUUUGUAAUCACACUUUGUCACAUUCGGCUAUAAUUUAUAUAAAAUCAUAUUUUUCCAUUCAGCACAGAUACUUUGCAUUUAACUAAAAAUUAAGUACGUCAAUUUACUUACGAACUUACCUCGAUCGAUGAAAAAUGGAACGGGACUAAUCGAUAACUUUCGGUUUCCUCGAUCUAAACCCGACUUCUUUAGUUCUUGAUCUAAACAUAUUCAAAUUAAGCCCAUUCAAAUAUAUUUUCACUCAAUUUGAUCCAAACAAACACAAAUGGGCAAACUUUUACACUUUUUACAAUUUAGUCCAAUUUACGCAAAACACAAAAUAUUCAAAAUUUGACUUUACUAUGCUCAAGCCGAAUCUUUAUUAAGCUCAUACAAGUCCAUAAAAUUCAUUUGUUCACAUCUUAAUCCCUCUAACUAUUAUUUUUGCAAUUAAGUCCUAAUUACUCAAAAUCAUCAAAAAUUCCAAUAUAAAAUAUAUUGACCCAACACCUAUCUUUCAUAUUUCGCCAUCAAACAAUAAAAAUCAUAAUCUCUCAUCAAUGGCAUAACUCAAAAUAUUCAUCAAAAUUAAAAAUUUAAGUAUGGGUUUUGUAGUACUCGAAGCAACGAUCUCAGGAACGUAAAAACUAUCAAAAACCGACUAAAAACGAACCUUGAAUUUGAACUUGG